ensembl:lncRNA
AGUGACCCGACGAGUCAGCCAAGAGAGGCUGGGUCAGGAGUUCUAAUCUAUGUCACUGAUUUGUGAUGUGACCCAUAGGAUUCCUUUCACCUCUCUGAGCCACAGUUGUUCCAUGUCUCCUAGGGUGUGGGUGUGUGCAAAUAGUCCCUUUCUACCUACUUCACAUGUGUGCUCAUCACAUUAGGCCAUAGAAACAGACUGGCUUCCAAAUACAUUUUAUUAAUAGAAAAACAUUGUUCCAGAUGUCCGACAGAGAGAAAGGUUUCAAUUAGGGCUUAUGUGCUUGUUCAUUCAACAGACUUAUGGAGCCCGAGUGCCAGGCAAUGAGCUAGAUGGAAGUGGUUGUAGAAAUGAAGAGCUCCUCUGUGCAUGAGAAGCUCGUGAUCUCUCAUUUAAUCCCCAUGACUAUCCUGUGAGGUUUAUUUGUCUGUUCUCUACUGAAGGACGUCUUCGUUGCUUCCACAUUUGGGCAUUUAUGAAUAAAGUUGCUAUAAACAUCUAUGUAUAGGUUUUUGUGUAAACACAAGUCUUCAGUUCCUUUGAGUAAAUGCCAAGGACCGUGAUUGCUGGAUCAUAGAUCCUUCAGAGUUUGGAGAAAAUAUGAGCUGAAAGAGCAGGAAGAUGUGGCAGGUCGCCGGAGGGCAAGACAUUCGUGGAAUGAACUGGCAAGGGUGGGCCGAGGUGCUGAGUAACACAACCUUGGGAGGCAAUGACUUUGGGUUCAGAUCCCAACUCUGUCAGUGCUGGGUGACUUUGAGUAAAUCACCACCUCUCUAAAGCUCACUUUUUUCAUCAAAAAAUGAAAAUAAACAUGUUGUCCAUUUCUUAAGGUUUGUCAUGAAGAUUGCAUAAAAUAGUGCCUGACAAGCUACUCAGUAAAUUUUAACUGUUAUCUUCCACUCUUUCUCCUCUUCCUUUUCUUUAUUGUCGGGCAUCAUCCUUGUCACCACCAUCGCCGUCGUCACUACCACCACCACCUCGCCCACCACCGACACCACCCCGCCAGGGGUCUCCUGAAAACCCCUUCCUGUCCCGAUGCUUCCCCCUGUUCCGGCACUACCCCGUGAGACCUGCAGGGGGCGCCCCUGGUACGCUGCCCUCCUGCCUGUGUUUCUUGUUGUUCCAAGUGGAAAUAUCGAGUUUUCAG